CCUACGGGUGGCUGCAGUGAGGAAUAUUGCUCAAUGGGCGCUAGCCUGAACCAGCGAAGCAGCGUGAGGGAUGAAUGCCCUAUGGGUUGUAAACUCCUUUUAUAUGGGAGUAAAUUACAGUGUGUAUACUGCUUUGCAUGUACCUUAUUAACAAGGAUCGGCCAACCCCGUGCCAGCAGCGGCGGUAAUACGGUGGAGCCGAGAGUUAUCCGGAUUUAUUGGGUGUAAGGGGCGCGUAGGCGGGUUGUUAAGUCAGUUGUGAAAGUUUGCGGCUCAACCGUAAAAUUGCAGUUGAUACUGGGAUCCUAGAGUAAAGUAGAGGUAAGCGGAAUUCGUGGUGUAGCAGUGAAAUGCGUAGAUAUCGAGAGGAACUCUGAUGGCGAAGGCAGGCUGCUGGACUGUAACUGACGCUGAGGCUCGAAAGUGUGGGUAGCAAACAGGAUUAGAUACCCGAGUAGUC
rnacentral:rRNA from 1 species